rnacentral:misc_RNA from 1 species
AAUGCGAUAAUUAAUGUGAAUUGCAGAAUUCAGUGAAUCAUCGAGUCUUUGAACGCACAUUGCGCCCCCUGGUAUUCCGGGGGGCAUGCCUGUCCGAGCGUCAUUGCUGCCCUCAAGCACGGCUUGUGUGUUGGGCUUCCGUCCCUGGCAACGGGGACGGGCCCAAAAGGCAGUGGCGGCACCAUGUCUGGUCCUCGAGCGUAUGGGGCUUUGUCACCCGCUCCCGUAGGUCCAGCUGGCAGCUAGCCUCGCAACCAAUCUUUUUAACCAGGUUGUCCUCGGAUCAGGUAGGGAUACCCGCUGAACUUAAGC